CCGCUAGACGGAGACACUUCUUUGUCUCAGCAGUGUUUUAUAGAGGGUAGAGGUUAAAAAUAUUAUUUAUUUAUUUACCUCUACUCUCCAUAAGUUUUUGUCAAUACUUUCGAACUGGAGUGAUGAUUUGUAGACUGUCACAACAUUUUAGUAUAUUAUUUCUUAAUUGGAACAAAUGACCUUGAAAAGUUAAUAAUAAUUAAGAAAGACAACAAUAUAAGUAAAGAAUGGCGGGAAGUACGAGUAAUGUUUAUGAUAUCAAUGGAUCACACUUUGUUCCAGAUUUGUAUUAUAUAUAAAAAAAUUGAUGAAGAAGUAUAGACUGAAACAGAUUAUGGAUCAUGAAGGAGAAA